rnacentral:misc_RNA from 1 species
ACCAUAUUUACUAUCAUAGCCUUAAUCAAUGGUCUUAGUACAUCAAUCAUGUCACCAAUGACCGACGCUAGCACUCAUAAGAAAAAUUGUUAUAGUUUACUAGUCAAUGCAAAAAUGGUCGCUUAGAGACUUGGACCAACAAAAUCCAUGAACAUAAAACUGAAUAACCAGAAAAUGAAACUUGUCUAGUAGAUAGAGGAGUUAGGAGAUAGGAUUUUGGAAGGCAAUAGUCCUUCCUUCUUUGCCAUCUCAUAAAGUGCAAUGGCCAUUAAAACCUUAGCAUCGGCUGUCAUGCGCCAAAGUUUAGCAUAGGGAACCACACGAACCUUAAUCAGCUCACCAUGAUCACGAAGGCCCGUCUCUUUGCCUUGUAGCUGUGUGAUAACUUCUUUAUCAACAUACCCUCUGUAAAGGAACACACUAAUUUCUUCGUCACAUCCUCCCGGAGAAGGAAUAACUCUGCAUCCAGUGGAUGGAUCCAGCAAAGCUGUGAGGUCAACCAUGUCUUCUAGAUUCAAAUGAAUACCAGCCUCCUCUUCAACCUCACGAACUGCAGUGC